rnacentral:rRNA from 1 species
AUUGAACGCUGGCGGCAGGCCUAGCACAUGCAAGUCGAGCGCCGUAGCAAUACGGAGCGGCAGACGGGAGAGUAACACGUGGGAACGUGCCCUUUGGUUCGGAAUAACUCAGGGAAACUUGAGCUAAUACCGGAUAAGCCCUUACGGGGAAAGAUUUAUUGCCAUUGGAGCGGCCCGCGUCGGAUUAGCUAGUUGGUGAGGUAAUGGCUCACCAAGGCGACGAUCCGUAGCUGGUCUGAGAGGAUGACCAGCCUCACUGGGACUGAGACACGGGCCAGACUCCUACGGGAGGCAGCAGUGGGGAAUAUUGGACAAUGGGCGCAAGCCUGAUCCAGCCAUGCCGCGUGGAUGAUGAAGGCCCUAGGGUUGUAAAGUCCUUUUAACGGGGAAGAUAAUGACGGUACCCGUAGAAUAAGCCCCGGCUAACUUCGUGCCAGCCGCCGCCGUAA